rnacentral:lncRNA from 1 species
AUGGAAGAAAACACAAACUCAGAAAAUAUGUCAAACGAACAUGUUGAAGAAAUGAUUGAACAAUCUUUAAAAUCAGGAGAUACAAAUGAGCAUCCUUAUUUUUUACAACAAAAUAAUAUUUACUGGGAAACAGGUCAUAGGACCUACAUCCCUUUUUUCCAUUUUUUAAUACACAAAUAUACUAAUAAAAUAAUAGACGACCAAAUAAGAAAAUUUACGCACAGUGUAAAAAGUGUUCACCACACCCCCUUUGUAUUUCAUAAAGAUGGUUAUUUUCGAAGCUACUAUGCAGACCCUGAUAUUAAUAUAGUUUUUAAUUUAAAAAAAAAUACAAACUUUGUUUUUAAUUCUACUGGUAAUAACAGUUCAUAUAAUAUGUUGACUAAUAAUUCCACAUAUGAUAAACCUACUUACAUAUUUAAUGAAAUUCUUAUGAGUGCAUUUAAAUUAGAUGUAAAAAACAUUCUAGAAAAUACCGUAUAAUCAAUAUACAAAGAAUAAGAACGCACAAAAAAAAAGUAUCUAUAUACGUACAUAUAUAUAUAUAUAUAUAUAUUACAGAUGUAUCUAUAUGUACAUAAUAUUAUAGAUGUAUCUAUAUAUGUUAAUAGAAUAGCUUUUUUUGGAAAAAAAUAUAUAAUAAUAUAUUUUAAUUAGGUACACAUUAUUGGACAAAAAAAAAAAAAAAAAAAAAAAAAAAAAAAAAAGGGAAUUAUAUAGUUAAUUAAAGGCAACUAAAUGAUUAAUUAAAUGUAAUUUAAAGAAUGUAAGAAAAGUAUUUAUUAUUAGAACAUUUGUUUAUAUUAGCGCAUAUGUAUGUAUCUAUAUAUGUGCACAUGUUUGAACAUAGACAUACUAUUUUUUUUUUUUUUUUUUUUUCAUUUUUUUUUUAUUAUUGUUUAUGAACAUAUUAUAUAUAAAUUUCCAAAACCUGUUGAAGUAGUUACAUUUGUAUUGACCUUUGAAAUAAUACCAUAUAUUAAGAAGAAAACGUGUAAAUAUACAUACACACAUAUAUAUAUAUAUAUAUAUAUAUAUAUAUCCUUGUUUUGUGCUUAAAUUAUAUUUAAGAAAACUAAACGCCUAUAUCAUACUCCUUUUUUAUUAAUUCAUUAUUUUUUUAGCAACUUUCUUUUGCUAUUUAUUUUUAUUGUU